GAAGGAGAAAUAUAGUAGUGGGUCUCACAAUCAACUAUUUUCGCCAUUAAAAAAUUAAAAGCGUGCGUAUGUUGUUGUUGACAUACAAAAAAAGAUGUGCAUUUCUAGAUUAAGACUUCUUGGUUUGUAAUAUUAUUAAUUUUUUUUUCCAUAUUAAGUUUGAAUAAAUUGAUUGAAUUGUCUAUUUCAAAGCUGUGUCUCUAUCCCUUUAGUUUCACAAUUUUAGUCCACAAAACGUGAUCAUCAUUAUUAACCGUGAUCAUAAAGUUCAUUUACUCAUGUGUGGGUCUAAAUGGUCAAGAGCCAAUAAGUGGUUCACGUUUAAAGUAUCCUGUUUAUGUUUUUUUUUUUGUAAAAUACACCUUUCUGUUUUAUU
rnacentral:lncRNA from 1 species